UCUCUCUCUCUCUCCCUAGGCUGCCCCAGUACCUUGAUUCGGCAUGCUCCCCACCGUGUUGCCAUAGCAGCCGGCCAUCCUAUUUUCAGCCAACGCAACUCUGGUGUUAUCCUUCAUGUGGCCUAAGUGGGAAAAUGUAUGAAUUGUUUGCUGAUCAUCGCUUCCAGCAAGGUCAACCACAAAUUUGUACCGGGGAAUUUUCACUUCUUGUAGUUGGCUUCACAGUAAUGGCGUGAGAGCUCAAGGAACUAUUGUUGUACUGGGGAGGCUUUAUUGUAUUUCCUAGUGUUGUAAACUGCUUGUACGAUGAAAAAAGGGAAACCCUUUCAUGUUGAAUGCUUCAAAUUAGUUAAGUAUGUAUUCAUGUAGGCAAUGGUCUGAUUCGAGUACUCCCCAAGAUUUUGAACUUGCUUAUGGUUCAUGAAUUGAAAAUAUGGAUUAUGCAGGGAUGUAUUAUUAAAUUGCAGGAUUUAUCUCAUUUUAAUGUGGAUA